AAAGGGCGUGAGAACUAUUAACAAUAGUCCAGUGGGUAAGCGCCAGCCUCGGCGAAUUACACACUAGGCAUAGAUGUACUAAAUGGAAAAUAAAAGCAGUAAUUUGCAUGAAUAUUUUCAAUGCUAACAAUUAAUGAACAUGUAGGCAACAGUAAUCAUUAUCUCAACAGUAAUGAAUUAACUGAAUGGUAGAAGAGCAUGGCAACUACUAUAAGCACAAACAUAAGCAUAAAUGUGUAAGUACAUACUGUACACAUGUAACUAGUAAGCAUUCAUUACUGUCAUUUGUAUUUAGUACUUCACAUCAAUAGAGUUUACUUUCAUUCACAGGGAUCUACUCAAGGUAGUCCAGCUUGCGCCGCGCCUAAUGGCCCCGUGGUAGUACACUCCCCACGGCAAUCCACUUCGGCACCCAAUCCCGCACGAGUGCGAGCAACUGUGGCGUAGGCCAACUCCGGAGUGCGCUUGUAGGGAGCUACCCUCAAAAGCGGUGUCGACAAUGAGCACAAUGGCAGCAAGCAAGCAAGUCCACAGUCCAACUGUCUCAUAUUACAAUUUCAUUUGCAAUGUUCUCGUCUCGAUCCUCGAUCGGAAUUUCAAUAUAACAAAUAUGAACAAUAACUAGAAUCCACUAGUUUAGUAAGCAUGUAAGAGUAAUGCUAAUUUACAGGCAUUAGAAUCUUUUCACUAUCAUGGCACUACCAACAUAGUCCAAAGCAUGUCACGGUUCUCUACUUUAGAGUCAAUGUCAUUGUUUUCUACUUUAAAAACAUAAUUAUCAUGUCCAUUGGUUACUCAACUGAACUAAAGAUAAACAUAAACAUAAGCAUAAAUACUGUUAUGCAUAAAUUCUCUAUCUCAUAGAGAUUCUAGUCAAUGUAUAUGGCAAAGAAGUCCAAAGAACCAUAUAGUGACAAUAUCGCCCACAACUGUCAAUUCGAUACAUAUAUAGACAUAGGGGAGCUUCACUUGCUCUGGUUAGGUCAAACCACACUCGUACUAGGUUCCAAUAAGUUUGCAAGGGUCCCAAAAUCAGCCCCACGAGGUCCCACUGCUCCUGAAAUAAGUAUCAAACCGUGUCAAAAAGACGACUGAAAUGUCGAUCGGAUUAUUCGGCUAAUUUACACUUUAGUGCAAAGUAACCCUUGAAUCCUAUUCUGGCUAGAGUAAUACCUCAAGUUAAGCUUCCAAAAGGUCCUCCAAGCCAGCCAGUCGAAGACGGUCAAAGGCGUCAAAUACCCUCUCGCUGCGAACAAUACGAAACGCAUCAUAUAGUCGAUUAUAAGCUAUAAAUAAUCGACUUCUCGCAAGAUUUAAUUCCUAGCUAAACUUCUGCUUACCCGAAGUUAGAACACCUUCUUAACUCGGUCCAAGUCACUAACUGAAUCCCGUUAAAAGAUUCAAAAACCUGCUGCGAAGAGAACAAUUUCCAAAUUGUAUCAAUUCGGUCGCAUAACCGUAUAUAGUCGAAUAGCUUCAUAAAUGGCUAAUUAUUCCAAUUAAGCUUCCCAAGUAACUUAUUCCAGAUCUAAGAGGGUAAUUCUCAGCUAAAUUAUCUCAUAUAUACAUGCUGAAAUCUCAGGUUAAAGCAGCGGGAGCUAAAAACCUGAAAACAAUACCAAUAUCGAUCGUUAAUAAUGGAAAAGUGAGCCGAUUACCUCGUCAAGCUCCAACAGUAGCUCACUGGUCCAGAGCUGCGAAAGACUUCCAAAUACUCCCUCACACGCCACGUAGCCCUGCGACACUUGCGAACAGCGGAGGAACAACGUCGCGACGAAAACGAACGAAAUCGUCGAAUUCGUUGUUAGAGAGAGAAAAACCUAGAAGAGAGAGAGAAGAGGAAGGUGGUAGAGCUUUCUCUUGAGCUCCAGCAACCCUUACUGAGCUCCCAGAGUCGUGCUGGGCUCAAAUAGGUGAGAGCAACAUGUGAAAUUACCAAAUACCCAAGCUGCUACGUGUUCUGCAUUGUGUACCGGUACAAGCGAAUGGUACCGGUACAGCAAGCAGAAAAGCUGAUUUUCGCCUGUUCAAUGCACUUUCUGUUUCCAACAUUCCGAUCACUCUCAAACUUGUCCAAAAACUUGUCUAAGUCCUUUAGGAACAUGUAGGAUAGUUCCACAUUCAUCCUCACUCUCGAACUCCGCAAAUGCUGACGUUCAGUAUACUAUAAUACAGUAAGUAUCAGGAACCGCUUCGACGACGCACUUCCUGCAAUCCAAAAGUUAAUAGCUCUCAAAAUUGCCCAAAACCACCUUACAACAAUUAGAACUUGUGGGCACAUGCACUUCUCAACCCCACUUUCCAACUAUACACCAAUGUAAAGUUCAAGGUAUUACAUUCACCCCUCCUAACAAGAAAGUUUCGUGCCGCGAAACUUGUAAACACUUACCUUCAAGAUUCUGUCAAGAAAGAGAUAGGGGUAGUGCUCUUGUAUCGCACUCUCCAGUUCCCAAGUGCUUCCCGUUCCUCGUGAUUGCUCCAAGGAUCUUCACGUAGGGUAUCUCGCGAUUCGAAGCCUUUUCACUUCUCGAGCUAAUAUCCUUACGGAUUGCUCCUCAAAACCAAUCUUCAUGCAACUCUCCUACUGGAAUACUCUCCAGUACGUGGGUUGGAUCACAAAACAUAUCUCGAAGUGUGACACAUGAAAAACAUUAUGGCACUCCGAUAGGUUCGCGGCAAGGCAACCGAUACGCUACGGGGCCUAUCCGCUCCAACACCUCGUAGGUCUAUAAAUCGAGGGACUCAACUCCUCGAAUGCCAAAUCUCUUAACUCCUUUCGUCGGGGAAACCUUAGGAAUACAUGAUCGCCAACUUGAAAUUCCAAUUCUCUCCGACGUUUAUCCGCAUACUCUUUUUCGACUUGUGCUGUCAGUAGACAUUCUCGUGCAAGCCGAACUUUAGCUUCAGCCUUUGUAAUACAACUGGACCGAAAUAAUCUCUCACCUACUUCACUCCAAUGAAGUGGUGAUCUGCACUUUCUACCAUAAAGGGUUCAAACGGUGCUAUCUGAAUACUGGCUGUGAUAACUGUUGUUAUAUGGCAAAUUCAGCCAUAGGCAAGAAUUGUGGCAACUGCCUUGAUAAUCAAUCACACAGGCCCGCAAUAUGUCCUCAAGGGUCUGGAUGGUACGCUCAGACCUGCCCAUUCACAUCUGGGUGGAAAGCCAAGUACUAAAAUCACAUCGGGUACCCAAAGCCUCCUGUAACUCAUCCAGAAAUGUGAAACACAAGCGGGUGUCUCGCAUCCGAAACAAUGGAAGGCAGGUACUCCGUGUAAUCGCACAAUUCAUCAAGUACACUUGUGCGAGUCUCUCUCUGACCAAGUUGUGUGGAUUGGAAUAGUGGGCAGAUUGGUUCAAUCUAUCCACAAUUACCCAAAUUGCGUAGUGACUGUUGUGAGCGAGGUAAUCCAACAAUGAAGUCCAUAGUAAUCCUCUCCCACUUCCACACUGGUCAUGGGUAAACUUUGAAGUUUUCCGCACGGAAGUCAGUGUUCAGCUUUGACCUGCUGACAGGUUAAGCACUUAGCUACGAAGUCUGCAACUUCCUUUUUCAUUCCAGCCACCAGUUAGGUUAACUUCAAAUCUUUAUACAUCUUUGUACUCCCGGUGUGUACAGUAAUAACGGCGCCCGAUGUGCUUCUGUUUAGAAUCUCUUUUUUAUAUCUGGAUUGGCAGGGCACACAAUUCUAUCACCGAAUUUAAGCAGUCCCUGAUCAUCCACUCGAAAAUCGCUAAUUGUCAACAGUGAUCUUUGCUCGAAUCUUUUGCAGGAAUCAUCUUGAGCUUGCUUUCUUUAAUUCGAUCGAUCAGGGUUAGGUUGUACCACUAAUGACAUAAGUCUCCAAGGCGUAUCAGGGGCUACAACUUCCAAAGUAUUGCUCCUUCUUUUAUCAACAGUGGUGCAUUGUUAUCGACAUCGCCAAUUUCCCGAUUUUCGACUUAAAGCAUCUGCUACAACAUUAGCUUUUCCGGAUGAUAGAGAAUGGUCAAAUCAUAAUCCUUGAGCACUCCAACCAUCUACGAUUGCUCAAAUUUAAUUCCUUUUGAGUAAACAAAUACUUUAGGCUUUUAUGAUCGUGUAAACCUCGCAACGCUCGCCGUAGAGGUAGUGGCGCCAAAGCUUUAGGGCAAAACACAGCUGCCAAUUCUAGUCGUGUGUAGGGUAGUUUUUCAUAAUCCUUAUUGGCGAGAGGCGAUAGCAAUUACUCUGCCAUUCUGCAUUAGAACACCCCUAGUCUAUUCAGUGAUGCAUCGCUGUAAAUCACAUAAUCUUCUCCCGUAACAGGUAGCGCUAAGAUCGGGGCGGUAUCAACCGUCCUUUUAGCUCCGAAAGCUUCUUUCGCAGGCUUCAUUCCAUAGGAAUUUAGCUCCUUUAUGUGUAAGUCAGUGAGAGGGAGUAGACAUCUUUGCAAUCCUUCAAAAAAUCUUCGGUAGUAUCCGCCAAACCAAGGAAACUGCCAUCUCUGUGACACUAUCGGCUAGGCCAAUCUUUAAUCCGUUCAAUCUUCUGUGGCACCCACAGCUAUCCCAGUUUCUGAAAUUAACAUGUCCCAGAAAUGCACUUUUCGAAGCCAAAUUCACAUUCUUUAACUUGGCAAACAAUUCUUUUUUCGGAGUACUUGUGAACACCACUCUCAAAGGUCUUCAUGUCCUUGUCACUUCGAGAUAUAUCAAAUGUCAUCAAUAAACACUACACAAUCUAUCCAAAUAGGGCUUAAAGACACUGUUCAUUAAAUCCAUAAAAGGCUGCUGGGGCAUUAGUCAAUCAAAGGCAUGAUGUAAAUUCAUAAGCCAUUACCGUGGUCUAAAAGCAGUUUCUAGAGACAUCUUCAGGCUUGAUCUUAAGCUGAUGGUAACCAGAUUGCAAAUCAAUCUUGAAUACACCUUCGAUCUUGCAGCUGAUCAACAAGUCAUCAAUUCUGGGCAAUGGUAUUUAUUCUUGAUCGUGACUUUGUUGAUUUCCGAUAAUCCACACACAUCGAAGGAUCCAUCCUUUUUCUUGACAAACACACCGGUGCUCCCAAGGAGAUACACUUUGACGAAUAAAUCCUUUUAUCUAAGAGAUCUUGUAAUUGUGCCUUCAGCUCUUUCAAUUCAGCGGGUGCCAUCCUUAUGGUGCUUCCGAGAUAGGGGCAGUCCCAGGACAGAUCAAUCAUAAACUCGACUUCGCCUAUCAGGUGGCAUGCGCCGGCAACUCACGCUGAACACAUCCCGAACUCCGCACAACUGGGAGUAUCAUCAAUCGUUGAUGGCUUCACCACCACUCACAAGAGAUUCUAGGCAAAAAGGCUACACAACCUCUCCGUAUCAACUGUCGGGCUCGCGAGGAGCUAAUAGUCAUUCGAACAAUGAACUUGCACACCCUUUAUAAACAAUCUUGCUGAUCCGGCUCCCUAAAGGUCACUGUUCUGUUCGUGCAAUCAAUAGUGGCAUAAUACUGUGUAACCAAUCCAUACCAACACUACAUCAAACUCACCUAGUUUAUGUAGUGCCAAUAAAUCCACUGGCAUAAUCCAGUCGCCUACCCUAAUGGGCAGCGAGGGCAAAACUCACGAACAUCUAGAGUAUGGCAGUACAAUAACUCGUCCCAGAUGCAAGUAUAGCUGCUAAUUCGUAUGCUAUGCACUCGGCGAAUGCCCGAUCAAAAAAGAAUGCGAAGCACCAGUAUCAAUAUAAUGCACAAUACGAAUAUCAUAAAGCAUAAUAAUACCUGCUACGACCUCCUGUUGCUGCUGCGGGCGCCCUCGGUCUGGGUGGCAUACAUCCGCCCACUCGAACCCUGCUGCGAACUCUCCGACUGCCGCUGUCCUGGUGGUCGCCUAGACUGAUAAGGCGCUGUCGGGGUCCCCUGGCUCGGAGCUGAAGACGCAGGUGCAGUCGCUGACGAGGGUGCAGGCAAAGAACCUCUCGGGCACUCUGAACGAAAGUGGCCCUCCUGGCCGCAAAGAAAACACCUGCCCCCACGCUGUGGACACUGUGGCGGUACGUGAGGCCCACCACAGAUAACACAACGCGGCGGUCGACGACGCUCGGGUGCUCCACGGGGCGCUGAAGAACCUCGACCCCUCGACUGACCUGUCUGGCCCGUCUGGUUCCUCGGAUACUUUGGCGGUCUCCGGAAGGACUGCUGACCACUGCUCUCAGCUGCUGGUCUCUUUCCUUUGCUUCUUUCCACAACGUCUCUUUCCUUCAUGAUUUCUGCCCCUUUCUCAACGAUCAAGGCCCGGUUCACUACAUCUCGAUAAGUGGAGAGGUUUGACGCCUGGACCAAUCUGAAAAUCGCAGGUCGCAAACCCACCUCAAAAAUACGAGCCUUGUCCUCAUCAUCUCUAACCACAAACGGAACGCAGUGCAGUAGUCGGGAGAACUCUCGCUCGUACUCAGCCACUGUCCUGUCCCCUUGUCUCAAGUUCCUCAGAUCCCUUUCCAUCUGCCUCUUCACACUCUGUGGAAAAUAGGUAGUCAACAACAACUCCUUGAACCUGUUCCACGUAAUAGCAGACAAAUCAGCACGGGGAUCCUCCCGGAUGUCCACCCACCACCUGUAAGCCUCGCCGUCAAGGUGGUGUGUCGCAAACCAAACCCGGUACCGCUCCUCCACAAAGGUAUCAUAGAAUAGCUUCUCCAUAUGCAUCAGCCAUUUUUCAACCACCCAAUGAUCGGCUUUCUCCCCGUCAAAGAUAUGAGGGUUGCAGCGACGGAAUUUAUUUAAUCGUUCCAUCAUCCGCUCUCGCUCCUCAACCCCCACCAUCUCGGGUAACACUGUCCCAGCUGCUGCUACAGGUACUGGUGGUGGUACUACUGUCUCCUGUCGGGUCUCUGCCCUCGGAGCUACUGGGGGUGUGUCAAGUACAGGUGACUGUGCUCUCACUGUGGUGCCCCUCUCUGGUGCUAUAGGUACAGAAUCUGGAAUCUCUCUGUCGGUCGUCUGCCGCAGUAACAGAUCCUCUAACCUCUUCAUCCUGUCCUCCUGCCGACGCGCAGCGUCCAUCUGCUGUCGUGCUGCCGCGGCCUGCUGAGUAACCAACUCUGUCAACGUCGCAAGCUGAUCCUGCAACUCAUGGAGCUCACUGGACCCCGAAGUGACGGAAGUCUCAACUUCUUCCGCAGCGGCUGCCUCAGCCGCCCCGGCGGUUCCAGAACGAGUCGUAGGCAUCUUCGACUGCAAUACAAAAACAAACAUAGGUCAAUAAACCCUAUACUACUAAACCCUCAUUGAGGAUAUAAACCAGCUAAUUAAGCGAAAGCAAUGAGAUGUAACGCAUACUAACUUCCGAUGUCACGUUGUCGGCCGCCAACGUGACCCUCUGCAAAGUUAGUAAUUGCACAUCCCGAUCAAACUCCUACUAUUCGGAGUUUAUAAGUACCCAAUCACAGUACUUUCGCUAACAACAACCUCGACUAGACAUCGUCUCUCACGAGCCUAUUCUUAUAGUCCAACCAGCCUAAGGUUUGCUAGGUCUACUAAGACUCAACCCUAGUCUCUGAUACCACUAUAAUCUGUCACGCCCGAAUACCAGCGGAAGCAUAUCCGGCACGUGCACAGACCCGCCAUACACCUGCAGUAUAUAAGGCGUCUACAAGAAGCAAAUCGAUAGGAAGUAAAACAAAGAAAGUCCUAUCCUGAUAUCAGAGCAAAGUACAAGUCAAAAUACUAUCAGCAAAAGGGCAAAGAGUGUACAAUCCAAAACUCAACCAAAAGAUGAAAGUAUCACAACUAUAAAGUCUGAUCCAUACAGUAGAUAUACAGUACUGGGUAUACAAAAAGAAGGUACAAGGGUAGUCUCUCUAUACAUAAGGACAUCACCCUCGGCCGUAGCCCGAGUAACAAGGUGAUCGACUAGCACGCUCCUAGUAGUCCCUAGCUAGGCGCGACUCCCUUGCCACGAUCCCUAGCCUCUCCUGUAACAGGCUCUGUAAAAACAACCACCAAAAGGGCGUGAGAACUAUUAACAAUAGUUCCCAGUGGGUAAGCCGCCAGCCUCGGCGAAUUACACCACUAGGCUCAUGAUGUACUAAAUGGAAAUAAAAGCAGUAAUUUGCAUGAUAUAUUUUCAAUGCUAACAAUUAAUGAACAUGUAAGCAACAUGUAAUCAUAAUCUCAACAGUAAUGAAUCAACUGAAUGGUAGAAGCAUGGCAACUACUAUAAGCACAAACAUAAGCAUAAAUGUGUAAGUACUACUGUACACUGUAACUAGUAAGCAUUCAUUACUGUCCUUUGUCAUUUAGUACUUUCACAUCAAUAGAGUUUUACUUUCAUUCACAGGGAUCUACUCAAGGUAGUCCAGCUUGCGCCGCGCCUAAUGGCCCCGUGGUAGUAUACACUCCCCACGGCAAUCCACUUCGGCACCCAAUCCCGCACGGGCGAGCAACUGUCGCGUAGGCCAACUCCGGAGUGCCGGCUUGUAGGGAGCUACCCUCACAAGCGUGUGCGAAUGAGCACAAUGGCAAGCAAGCAAGGUCCACAGUCCAACAUGUCUCAAUUAUUACAAUUUCAUUUGCAAUGUUCUCGGUCUCGAUCCUCGAUCGGAAUUUCAAUAUAACAAAUAUGAACAAUAACUAGAAUCCACUAGUUUAGUAAGCAUGUAAGAGUAAUGCUAAUUUACAGGCAUUAGAAUCUUUUCACUAUCAUGGCACUACCAACAUAGUCCCAAAGCAUGUCACGGUUCUCUACUUUAGAGUCAAUGUCAUUGUUUUCUACUUUACAAAAACAUAAUUAUCAUGUCCAUUGGUUACUCAACUGAACUAAAGAUAAACAUAAACAUAAGCAUAAAUACUGUUAUGCAUAAAUUCUCUCUACUUCAUAGAGAUUCUAGUCAAUGUUAUGGCAAAGAAGUUCCAAAGAACCAUAUAGUGACAAUAUCGCACAACUAUGUCAAUUCGAUACAUAUAGAACAUAGGGGAGCUUCACUUGCUCUGGUUAG
rnacentral:lncRNA from 1 species